rnacentral:sRNA from 2 species
CCCCCAGCAAUUGGGGAGUAGCCGCCCGCCGACACACUGAGCGGGGCAUGCGUCAACAGACUUGAAGACGCGCGGAGCAUGUCAACCAUGAACCGCGCCGAUCAUGGCGCUUGCAGCCCGGAUCAUCCGGGGCCUGGCGAGACCAAUGGCAUCGCCUUUCCGGUUCGGGCC